AGGAGGCUGUGGGGCGGGUGAGGAGCUCCGCGGGGUGGCGGCGCCUCAGAGCGCCUCGCCCUGGGCUGCGGUCCCUGGACAGAGCCGGUGGCCGCUCUGCGUGAGGCCGCUGCCAGAACGGGCGAGUGCCCCAAAGCAGCGCCUGAUGGCGUCCUAUGCUCCCUGUAGGCGCCCCUAUCACGCCGAGUUAGCAGCCCUGAGCCCUAGGUCCCUGCUGCUGCCUCCUACUGUCCUGGCUGGGGUGCUCAGGUAACCAGGCUGUUAGUUCUCCCUGAGCAACAGCGAGUUAAGCUACAGAGGGGUUUGCGUAUAGCGAGGUGCUCUGGGACCGAGGAUGUGCGCACCGCCCCCUGCUUUUAGGUAACAGGCAGUGGAGGCUCGGCACGCUGCCCCCUGGUUUUUAACUCGGUGGCAGCGGAGGCUGGAUGUGAUGCUCUGUGGUGGCCCAGGCACGGGGCUGUGCGCCCCCAGGCUCCCCUCCACAAGCACACGGAGCAGGCAGAGUUGGACCUGACCCCAGGGAGCUCCCCCUGCCCUAACGCCAACAUGCUGCCCGCUGUUCUCUGAACAAUUUGUAUUUAUUGAGCAGAGCCCGCUCAUCAUCACCCAACAACUCCCACCUCAGCACAGAUUCCAAAGAAAAGUCAAAGCAUCAGUUUAUUCUGAGAGUAAUGGCUCAAGGCUGCAGUCAGUUGGGGUAUAAUUACUGACUGCUUACUGUGGGCAGCUGCAGCACUGCAUUUUACAGGGGGCAGAGGAGACCUUGUGUUCUAUUUGUUGAAGAAUACUUGUGCAUUUUGUGAGGUGGUUGUUUCAAGUAAGAUCUUUGUCUUCCAAGAUCUUCACUGAAGUAUGGAACAGUUUCAGGAAGGAAGGCUGAGAGCUCUCCUCCUCCAACGUGCUUUCUGGCUAGAGGACAUGAGUGGGAUUCUAGAAAACAUUUUGAAGUUUUUCCUGGAAGAACAGCUUUAUCAAGUAGAAGCACAUCCAGUAGAAAAGAGAAGGCCCUUUGGACACAUGAUGACUGCAGCAGGGAUGAUUGUAAAGAGAAGCUAUACCUGCGGUUUUACCAACAGAUGCAGAAAGAAUAUGAUGGAGAGAGACCUGACUGUCAUUGUUGCCAUCAGCAAGGAGCAAAAGUAGUUUCUAUUACAAUCUUUCAGCUAAUUCUCUUACAGAAAGGAUAGUUACAUAGGUAUUCACAUUAAACCAGUGCAGCACCAACAGGAAGCUAAACUAAAGUCUUUACUUAACUAAGAAGAUACCACUGACACAACUGGCCGUAGUAGAAGUCCUGUUACUAGAGAGAUGAAGAUGAAAGGACUGACUUUAGCCUCAACUAAAAUUGCUGGUGGUGUUCUCACAUAACUAACGGCUUUGAAAAAGUUUUAAAUUCAUGUCUUUAAUUUGCUUGAAAAUGAUUUGUUGUAUUUUCAUUUCUUUUUAUUUCCAUUGUAACUUGAAGUUGUAACAGUGGAAAAAAAUAAGGAAAAUAUUGAAAUAACUGUAGUUAAAAAAGCCAUUUGGUUAUGAGGAAUCACCUUAAUAUGUAGUUACCUACAAGCCAGUCAAAUACCAGGUUUAAAAAAUAUUUAAUAGCCAUUCUACUGAAACAUCAAGUAUACUUGGAUUUAAUACAUGAAAAAUAAACAGCAGCUACUCUCCAAAAGUUUUUAAUAUCAAGGUUAAAUUAUUGACUACAGCUUGCACGUAAGGAAGCAAUGCCAGAAACAGUCACCUUGAAGCGCUAUAUGGAUGUUUCUAACUUCUAAAAGAGAAAAUUUACUUGCAUAGAGAAAAUUGUACAUUCAGUAACCAAAAAUAACUUCUGUAAUUGCACUAAAUACAUCACAGAUAUUACUUGCAACCAUAAUAACUUUUCUUGGUAGUUCUCAAGAUAACAAAUUUCUGCUUAUAGUGAAUAGUGAAGAACUGACUAAUGUGUGUGCUUAUCAGUAUAUCAGAGUGAUGACUUUUUUUGUCUUUGCAAAACAGGAUAAUGCUUUUUCCACUGUGUUUUCUGUAGCACUUCACCAUCUAGAAGGUUACACGGUGACUUCAGUGUUAUGUUUUUCUGAUGGUGCUUGCUUGAUUUGCUCUAUCAUAAUGUAUGCUGACAGAUGAGUUUUCA